GUACCUGCAUUAUGAGGCUUUUUGUCCAUUACAAAUCAAUGGAUCGUUCUGCCCCAAGUGACGAAGUAUGUCAGGAACAGCAUCUGGAAGUGGUAAUAUCAUGUUUCAGCAUAUGUUUGCAUAUGGAAGAUUAUAUAGCUGUGGGCAAGUUUCAGCAUGUUUUACACGGAUCAGGGAUUACAUGAUUAUGUUGUUCUGGACAUUAUUAUUCAACUGUCCUUGCGGAUGAGCUCCAUUGAAGACUAUUUCAUUAUCAGGUUGUAAGACCAUUGGAUGUGGUUCUAUGUUGGUUCAAUGUAGGGCUUGGUAUUUUACUUAGUUGAUGCAAAGAACGUUGGCAGAGGAAAAAGAUUGAAGCAACUUCCGACAUUGGAACAGCAAUUGGAAGUAUGCACAGAAGGAUGCCAAGGUAGCUUAGACUUGUGUCUUUAAACCUAAGAUUGUGGCUCAAAUUAGGGGUCUUUGGUCUCUCCUGGCUUCGUCCUGCACACGAGUCAUAUGUAUGUUGGAGAAAUUGUGUGGUAUUAUGUUUUAGUGACAUGGCGACAGGUUAAUGUGUAGUAAGAAGGUGAUGCAUCAAGGUUAAGUGAGAUUGGUAAUUUGAGUGGAGUGAUGAUAGGACAGAGAUUGGUAUGUGAAGUGAGAAGCUUGUGUAUGUGCUGACAGUGUUAUGAUGGGAAUUGUGCUCUACUAAAUUAGGGACAUUCAAUUCA